rnacentral:tRNA from 1 species
UAGAAAGUGGUAAAAAGGAAUUACAGAGAGUUUUGAUCUCUCAGUUAUAGGUUCAAUUCCUAUCUUUCUAA